rnacentral:rRNA from 1 species
UAUCCUUCCAGUGCUUCAGGCUGUUGAGGCCCAUUCUCUCAAGAUUCUUGGCUUUAACCCUCCUCCUCUCUUUGCAGAGCAUCGGCUGGUCAAUUCCAGAAUGCAUGGAUCAGACUCCCCGACCUUGAACGCCUGUGGCAUUCAACUUGGGAAGAACACUGGAAGGUCUCGGCUCUUGAAACAGAAAUCCCACUGUCUUGCCCCCAUGCUGAUUACUCAGCAAUGGAAACGACAAUGGGCAUCUGCAAGAUGCUUUAUCUUUCCAGACUUUUCUAUGCAGUUGUCAAGGUUCUGCUGAACAGCAGCUGAUUCAAACCCAUCCAGAGCUGGUUGGCUCUGGCAGUGCUUGGAUCAGGCUUGAGUCCAGCGUCCUAUCAAACCAUCAGUGACUUGCCGCUACGACUGGGUCGACGCUGCAAACCUGUUGGCAUGAAAGGAAGCUGGAGUCAUCGGCUCCAACCCUUUCUCCGAUCUUGAUCACACCACACAGCUCACGGAAUUCAACUCCGCAUCCUUGGGGAAACCCGCUUCAGUUGGAUGGAGGUAGAUGGAGGUUAGCGGACUCGAACCGCUGACAUCCUGCUUGCAAAGCAGGCGCUCUACCAACUGAGCUAAACCCCCAAACACGAAUGGGCCAUCCUGGACUUGAACCAGGGACCUCACCCUUAUCAGGGGUGCGCUCUAACCACCUGAGCUAAUGGCCCAGGAGUUGCUUCCUCAUUAGGCUCAAUCUAUUCAUUCCAAUGAAUCACUUGACGUGAACCAUUAGAUUGGACAGGUUGGGACCCUGUGGGGUGACCUAGACAAAGUUUAGGAACUGAAAAGACUCGUCGGCACAGAAACUCAUCACCCUUGCAGGUCACAAGUCUUGCCGCUCAUCCAUUGAGGUACCGAUCGACCUAGAGAUGACAGGAUCAUGGCCUGAGAAUAAAGUACUCAGACAUCACGAUCGGGUAUUGUCUCCCUGUUAGGAGGUGAUCCAGCCGCACCUUCCGGUACGGCUACCUUGUUACGACUUCACCCCAGUCAUCAGCCCCACCUUCGGCAUCCUCCUCCCUUACGGGUUGGAGUAACGACUUCGGGCGUGGCCAACUUCCAUGGUGUG